UACGAAGGGGGCUAGCGUUGCUCGGAUUGACUGGGCGUAAAGGGCGCGUAGGCGGUCUGUACAGUUGGACGUGAAAUUCCUGGGCUCAACCUGGGGGCUGCGUUCAAUACGUGCAGGCUGGAGUUCGGAAGAGGGUCGUGGAAUUCCCAGUGUAGAGGUGAAAUUCGUAGAUAUUGGGAAGAACACCGGUGGCGAAGGCGGCGACCUGGUCCGAUACUGACGCUGAGGCGCGAAAGCGUGGGGAGCAAACAGG
rnacentral:rRNA from 1 species